rnacentral:lncRNA from 1 species
GAUGAAUAUGCUAAUGAAGCUCCAAGAAGCAGCCAAUUACCCGGGCACACAGAGCUGUGACAGUGACAGCGUCAGCCACCAUGAAGACAUUUUGGAUACAUCUAUUGAAUCCACCCUCUAAAGGGUGAAAGAGUUAGGCAAAGGACUAUGCUUUUCAAAAGGUGUUUAAAAGACAGGUAUUGUCACUAAACCACUGCCAGUAUGAAAGUGCCCUGUCCAGGGCCCUGACCCAGAGUUGUGGUCUCCAAGGAGGCAGCAGAAUUAGGUUGGAACUGCCAAGAUGCGAAAAUGAAAUGGGAGCUUAAGUUUAUUUUAUUGCUAGGCAGUUUUAUAGCCAUGGAGGUUAGCAAGGGCUCCAUUACUCAAUUGGGAAGGGCCCUAAAGAUGAGGCAACCAAGUAGAUUACACACGGGAUAGUGAGACUGGACUUUAUUUUCUUCCUCUUUCAAAGUUUACAGUGCAGGCCUAUUUUUUUCUUUUUCUUUUCUGUCUUUUUUUUUUUUUUUGUGCCUUUCUUUUGUUUCCUCGGGGCGGAGGCUGCCCUUCUCA